ensembl:lncRNA
AAACAAGUACAAGAUAUUUACAAUAAACAGACCUCAGUGCAAGAAAGUGUCUUUCCAACACUGAAAAGGUCAAAGGUCAACUUUAACAGUAAAAGGUGUAAAAACAAGUACAAGAUAUUUACAAUAAACAGACCUCAGUGCAAGAAAGUGUCGUUCCAACACUGAAAAGGUCAAAGGUCAACUUUAACAUUAAAAGGUGGUCAAACAAGUACAAGAUAUUUACAAUAAGCAGACCUCAGUGCAAGAAAGUGUCUUUCCAACACUGAAAAGGUCAAAGGUCAACUUUAACAUUAAAAGGUGGUCAAACAAGUACAAGAUAUUUACAAUAAGCAGACCUCAGUGCAAGAAAGUGUCUUUCCAACACUGAAAAGGUCAAAGGUCAACUUUAACAUUAAAAGGUGUAAAAACAAGUACAAGAUAUUUACAAUAAGCA